UACGUAGGGUGCGAGCGUUGCCCGGAUUUAUUGGGCGUAAAGGGUGCGUAGGCGGCCUGACAAGUCUGAUGUGAAAUCCCUGGGCUCAACCCAGGGCCUGCAUCGGAAACUGUCGGGCUUGAGUAUGGGAGAGGUGAGUGGAAUUUCCGGUGUAGCGGUGAAAUGCGUAGAUAUCGGAAGGAACACCUGUGGCGAAAGCGGCUCACUGGACCAUUACUGACGCUGAGGCACGAAAGCUAGGGGAGCAAACAGG
rnacentral:rRNA from 1 species